UUGGAGGGCAAGUCUGGUGCCAGCAGCCGCGGUAAUUCCAGCUCCAAUAGCGUAUAUUAAAGUUGUUGCAGUUAAAAAGCUCGUAGUUGAAUUUCGGAAUCAAUUUGUUGGUCGUGCCUCGGUACGUACUGGUAUUAUUGGUUUCUACCUUCUGAAGAACCUUGAUGUCAUUAAUUUGGUGUCUUGGGGAAUCAGGACUGUUACUUUGAAAAAAUUAGAGUGUUUAAAGCAAGCAUACGCUUGAAUACAUUAGCAUGGAAUAAUGAAAUAGGACGUUUGAUUCUAUUUUGUUGGUUUCUAGGAUCGACGUAAUGAUUAAUAGGGAUAGUUGGGGGCAUUAGUAUUCAAUUGUCAGAGGUGAAAUUCUUGGAUUUAUUGAAGACUAACUACUGCGAAAGCAUUUGCCAAGGAUGUUUUCAUUAAUCAAGAACGAAAGUUAGGGGAUCGAAGACGAUCAGAUACCGUCGUAGUCUUAACCAUAAACUAUGUCGACUAGGGAUCGGAUGAUGUUAAUUUUUUAAUGACUCAUUCGGCGCCUUACGGGAAACA
rnacentral:rRNA from 1 species